UACGGGGGGGGCAAGCGUUGUUCGGAAUUACUGGGCGUAAAGGGCGCGUAGGCGGUUUGUUAAGUUGGAUGUGAAAACUGUGGGCUCAACCCACAGCCUGCAUCCAAUACUGACAGGCUAGAGUUCUGGAGGGGAUAGCGGAAUUCCUGGUGUAGCGGUGAAAUGCGUAGAUAUCAGGAGGAACACCGGUGGCGAAGGCGGCUAUCUGGACAGAGUCUGACGCUGAUGCGCGAAAGCUAGGGGAGCAAAUAGG
rnacentral:rRNA from 1 species